UGAGGCAGGAGAAUUGCUUGAACCCGGGAGGCGGAGGUUGCAGUGAGCCAAGAUCGUGCCACUGCACUCCAGCCUGGGCGACAGAGCAAGACUCUAUCUUGAA
rnacentral:miRNA from 1 species